rnacentral:rRNA from 1 species
CCCUUAGAUGUCCGGGGCCGCACGCGCGCUACACUGUAGAUCGCAGCGAGUGUAGUUUCUGUCCCUCCCGUAGCCGGGUGGGUAAACAUUGAAAGAUCGAACGCGGCUUGGGAUCGGGCCUUGAGAUUAUUGCCCGUGAACGAGGAAUUCCCAGUAAGCGCGAGUCAUAAGCUGGCGUUGAUUACGUCCCUGCCCUUUGUACACACCGCCCGUCGCUACUACCGAUUGAACGAUCCGGUGAAUUAUUUGGAGUAGCUCUGGAAGUUGCAGAACUUCCUAUGUCACGAAAUUUUGUAAACCUUAUCGUUUAGAGGAAGGAAAAGUCGUAACA